rnacentral:rRNA from 1 species
GACAGAGGUCCCAAGCGUUAGGCGGAAUCACUGGGCUUAAAGCGUGUGUAGGCGGAUUUGUAAGUACCUUGUGAAAAUCCCACGGCUCAACCGUGGAACUGCUUGGUAUACUGCUUAUCUUGGGUCGUCUAGGGGCGAGCGGAACAAACGGUGGAGCGGUGAAAUGCGUAGAUAUCGUUUGGAACGCCAAUGGUGAAAACAGCUCGCUGGGGACGUACCGAGCUGAGACACGAAAGCCAGGGGGAGCGAACGGG